UACGGAGGGUGCUAGCGUUGUUCGGAAUUACUGGGCGUAAAGCGCGUGUAGGCGGCCGAUUAAGUCUGGUGUGAAAGCCCGGGGCUCACCCCCGGAAGUGCGCUGGAAACUGGUCGGCUAGAGUAUGGGAGAGGAAAGUGGAAUUCCCGGUGUAGCGGUGAAAUGCGUAGAGAUCGGGAGGAACAUCCGUGGCGAAGGCGACUACCUGGACCAGCACUGACACUGAGGCACGAAAGCGUGGGGAGCAAACAGG
rnacentral:rRNA from 1 species